ensembl:lncRNA
AGCAGAAAGAUGAAUGUUUAUGUAGGAGAUGUUACCGUUUUGGUUCAGGAUCCAGUUUUCUCCUCCUUAUUUUCUUUUCAUUAUGAGGCGUUUUCAAAAGAGGACAGCUAAUUCUGAAAAAUGGUCAAAAUCAAGCCAAACGCAUGAAUGUGAGCAGACGUCUGAGCUAAUGUCUAGGAUCAGGAGCCUUUUCUGUGGGCUAAGAAAAGGAAAUUGCGCCCCCUACCGAACCAAACUCUGCUUUCUGACUCUGUUCUGAGCCAGAGGCUUUUCUCCAUCAACAUGAACAUGUGCCAGCACGCCGCUCCUCAAUCAGAUGACCUUGGCAGCGGGACGCAGCCGACGGUCUCGGAGCGAAAGAGCCAUCCAUCACGCUGCAGACAGACCGCCUGUCACUCCGUUAUCAAGCCUCUGAAAACUCAGACUGAUGUCUCAGGGAGCCAUAUGGAGAGGAGAUCCAGUAUUUACUCGGAGGAGCUGUGAUUCAUGGCUAAGUGAUACUCAACAAAUGGUGUAUGAGGGCCAAAAAAAGAAGAGUACGAGAGUUCAGCGAAUGACCUUAAAUGACACCACAUCAGUCAGUCAAUGACACGAUUUUUGAUGGUUAAACCAAGAAGUCGAUGUUUUGUUGGUUAGCAUGGAAAACAGCAUCUUUCUCCAUGGAUGGCCAUUCAGCCCAAACACAAAGGUGUACUUCUCAAGUAAUAGAUCUGAAUGUGGAACAAGGCGAGCCGUCUUCUGUGUGCUAACGUCCUGCGGUUGCCAGACGACACACCUAAUCAUUUCUUCUGCUCGAGUCAGCAUCUGACGCAAGUGCAAAGUGUUUCUGUCAGAAGAUAACAAAAGAUCACAGUCGAUGGUCUCCUGCAGUCUGACUUUAAGAGUGCUCCAGAUGCAUCAUCGUGGCAUGUUUGUGCUUCUGUUGUCUGUUGAAAUGGUGCGUCCAGGUCCAGUGAAUGCGCUCAUGCAGAUUCUUGGAAAUGAGCAGGAUUUUUACAUUACAAUGAACUCAGUAACUGAGAGUCAAUGUGUUACAAGCCAACUAAAACAGAAUGAACAAAUAUAAGGCACUGAUUAUGCUAACAUCUUUUAUUUUUAUUCAUUUUGACAUUGAUUUAAAGAUUUGGCAAACAUUUU